UGUCUAGGGAUGGGAACCGAACCCACAGUGUUCCGCUUACCGGGCAGAUGCUAUGUCCACUAGGCUAUCCUGCCCAUCCCUGGAC
rnacentral:tRNA from 1 species